GGGGUUGUGGCUCAGAGGCAGGACAUUUGCUUAGCAUACAGAAGCUCCCAGGUUCGAUCCCCAGCAUCUCCA
rnacentral:tRNA from 1 species